GAUGAACGCUGGCGGCGUGCCUAAUACAUGCAAGUCGAGCGAACGGACGAGAAGCUUGCUUUUCUGAUGUUAGCGGCGGACGGGUGAGUAACAUGUGGAUAACCUACCUAUAAGACUGGGAUAACUUCGAGACACGGGAGCUAAUACCGGAUAAUAUUUUGAACCGCAUGGUUCAAAAGAGAAAGACGGUCUUGCUGUCACUUAUAGAUGGAUCCGGGCUGCAUUAGCUAGUUGGUAAGGUAACGGCUUACCAAGGCAACGAUGCAUAGCCGACCUGAGAGGGGGAUCGGCCACACUGGAACUGAGACACGGUCCAGACUCCUACGGGAGGCAGCAGUAGGGAAUCUUCCGCAAUGGGCGAAAGCCUGACGGAGCAACGCCGCGUGAGUGAUGAAGGUCUUCGGAUCGUAAAACUCUGUUAUUAGGGAAGAACAUAUGUGUAAGUAACUGUGCACAUCUUGACGGUACCUAAUCAGAAAGCCACGGCUAACUACGUG
rnacentral:rRNA from 1 species